rnacentral:lncRNA from 1 species
AAUCACUUUCUGAUAAAUAAACAAACCUUCAAGCAGAAGGAAUAUGUUUGCUCAAUAAUAAAUGUCCUUAAUAUUCGGUCAUCUUACAACAAAAAUCGAAUUUUAAUAUCAACCAUCUGUUUUUUUUUUUUUUUUUUUUUUUUUGUAUUUUGGUCAAAUUCAAAAGUGUGGAAUCUAUAUAUCACUUUGAUAUGAAGGUGAAGCACCUUUCACAUAACACAUAACUUCUUACAAAUUACAAACCUACAUUUUAACAUUUCACAUAACACAACUUACAAAUUACAAACCUACAUUUACAUUUCACAUAACACCAAAACUCAGAGUAUAAUGGUUAAUCAAAAGCAAGAUAUACUCUUCCACUUGUAAGCUUCUGCGACGUACUUUGUACAUUAUAUAGACCUUGUGGUCACAUUGAACGGCUGAGAAUGAUCAGACAAGAGUAUCAGGACAGGUUCUAUCUAGUAAAAAUAGCAGUUACAACAACAACAAAAAUUCAGUUUUUAUUACAUUGGGAUAAAUUUGUAUUUAAAUAGUAACAACAAAAAUACUUAAGACAAACAACUAGACUAC